AGGUGUGUAGGACAGUGGUUAAGUCGGCUGACCUGCACAGUGGGGGGCCCGGGUUCGAUUCCCGGAAGGACGA